AUUGAACGCUGGCGGCAUGCUUUACACAUGCAAGUCGAGCGGUAACAGGCCUUCGGGUGCUGACGAGUGGCGAACGGGUGAGUAAUGCAUCGGAACGUACCCAGAGGUGGGGGAUAACGCAGCGAAAGCUGUGCUAAUACCGCAUGUGAUCUGAGGAUGAAAGCGGGGGACCGAGCAGCAAUGUUUGGCCUCGCGCCUUUGGAGCGGCCGAUGUCGGAUUAGCUAGUUGGUGGGGUAAAGGCCUACCAAGGCGACGAUCCGUAGCUGGUCUGAGAGGACGACCAGCCACACUGGGACUGAGACACGGCCCAGACUCCUACGGGAGGCAGCAGUGGGGAAUUUUGGACAAUGGGCGCAAGCCUGAUCCAGCAAUGCCGCGUGCGGGAAGAAGGCCUUCGGGUUGUAAACCGCUUUUGGCAGGAACGAAACGGUGUCCGCUAAUACCGGGCGCUAAUGACGGUACCUGCAGAGUAAGCACCGGCUAACUACGUG
rnacentral:rRNA from 1 species